CUGCGGGUGCUACCAUGCAGUCGAACGUGAUCCGCCCUUCGGGGUGGUGAAAGUGGCGCACGGGUGAGUAACGCGUGGAUAAUCUGCCCGAGGAUUUGGGAUAACAUCUCGAAAGGGGUGCUAAUACCGAAUAAGCCCACGGGGUCUACGGAUCUUGCGGGAAAAGGGGGGGACCUUCGGGCCUCCUGUCCUUGGAUGAGUCUGCGUACCAUUAGCUAGUUGGUGGGGUAAUGGCCUACCAAGGCGACGAUGGUUAGCUGGUCUGAGAGGAUGAUCAGCCACACUGGAACUGAGACACGGUCCAGACUCCUACGGGAGGCAGCAGUGGGGAAUUUUGCGCAAUGGGGGAAACCCUGACGCAGCAACGCCGCGUGGGUGAUGAAGGCCUUCGGGUCGUAAAGCUCUGUCUGGAGGGAAGAAAUGAUUGGGAGCUAAUACCUCUUGAUCUUGACGGUACCUCUGAAGGAAGCACCGGCUAACUCCGUGCCAGCAGCCGCGGUAAUACGGAGGGUGCAAGCGUUGUUCGGAAUUAUUGGGCGUAAAGCGCGUGUAGGCGGUCUUUUAAGUCUGAUGUGAAAGCCCCGGGCUCAACCUGGGAAGUGCAUUGGAAACUGGGAGGCUUGAGUACGGGAGAGGAGAGUGGAAUUCCUAGUGUAGGAGUGAAAUCCGUAGAUAUUAGGAGGAACACCGGUGGCGAAGGCGGCUCUCUGGACCGAUACUGACGCUGAGACGCGAAAGCGUGGGUAGCAAACAGGAUUAGAUACCCUGGUAGUCCACGCCGUAAACGAUGAGUACUAGUGUUGCGGGUAUUGACCCCUGC
rnacentral:rRNA from 1 species